CCCAGGCGUCAGGGCUGAUGGGUAAGGACGUGAGUUAAGGAAAGCAUUGACACACUGCAAAGAGGAGAAGGACUUGACUGGUGCAGUAUUGGUGGCUGCUGGAUCAGAUGAGCUCCCUUCUACUCAGAGAAACAAUCAAUGUUUGCAACCACUAAGAGGGACUUUUGUUAUUACCGCCAAUCCUGACAGAUUCAGGUGCUAUGACUAUUUAAGGGGAUUUCAAGCUCCCUGAAGAUGAAGGCUGAAUCCUGCACCUCACUUGUAUCCUCCAUGGCUCAUUGAACAAGUGCUGGCUACACAGAGACUGCUCAAUAAAUAUUGAAUAAUUCACGAGGGA